UGUUCACUCAUUUCAUUGUGGUGCAGAAAAACAAAAAUGCGGGAAUUUACGCCGCAGCUUACAUGAUAGAGUUAAAAUUACCGCUGUUCGCGACGAAAGUUUCAACAAACAAAAUUGUAUUUUUAUUGUUUGUAGGCUAUGGGAUCGCGCACUUCGAUAGAAAAGCGUGAGUUAGUUUUGGAGCAUUUCAAAAAAAGAAUGUCGCGUCGUAAUUAUACAUUUCAGUUCAUUAUACAUUUGCACAUUCAGCACAUUUGCGAAUGCUUUCUGCAUGAAAAUCGUGUGUCAAAUAAAGGACGACACGCUCCAAAUAAAACUUUGACAGAGAAAAAAGUUCAGUGAUUAGUGUGCCAAGUGAAAAUAAAAAAAAAAAUCCGGCAAUAUGCCGUCCAAAGUUCAUUGAAAUCGCCAACAAGGAUUUAGGUAAGACUUGCCAUACAGAAACUGUUCAAAAAAUUCUGAGGGACGCAAAUUUAAAUGGUAGAAGCGGUCGUAAUAAACCUUUCAGCUCAGUACUUUUUACAGAUAGUACAGUACUUUUUCCAGAUAGCAGCUCUUUAAUUUGACGCGAGGCCAAUAUGGAGCUCAAAUUCCGAAAUUUGCGAGCUACUACAAAAUGCGGCGGUGGCAACAUUGGGCAUACAUAUCAGUUGGAAAAUUUACCUUCAUCGAAGAAACAAUGAACAAAAGUGUUUAUUUAAAAUCUCUGCAAGAAAAUUUGGCUCAAAACGCUUGAUAAUUCCAAAUUGAAGAUGAUUUCGCUUUCAGCAGGGUAGGGACCCUAAGCACAGUCACAAAUAAUACAAACAUCAUCAUAAAUUCCUAGAGUUCCAGCGUGGAACAUGGUUAACAUAUAAAAUGUCCCCCCCAUUGUUGAAACUUCUGCACAAUCACCGGAUUUGAACGUCAUUGAAAAUUUGUGGCUGACAAAUAUAAGAAAAUAUGACAUCCAUAACAAAUUUGAUCUUAAAAAGACUAGUUCAGUAUACACAAAAAACUUGAUUAGCUCUAUGCCACGCAGACUUGAAGCUGUAAUUGAUAAUAAAGGAUACACAACACAGUACUAAAUACCUAACAAUUUUAAAAAUUAAAAAUAAAUAGUUGCUCUUUUUUAAGUUGCAUCAUUUAAGCUGUGGCGCUAAUUCUCUGUAUGUUUUUGUUUUUUUCAUUACAAUGAAAGGA